rnacentral:rRNA from 1 species
GACGAACGCUGGCGGCGUGCUUAACACAUGCAAGUCGAACGAAAAGAGGGAAAGAGCUUGCUCUUUCCGGAAUUGAGUGGCAAACGGGUGAGUAACACGUAAACAACCUGCCUUCAGGAUGGGGACAACAGACGGAAACGACUGCUAAUACCGAAUAAGUUCCAAGAGCCGCAUGGCCCAUGGAAGAAAAGGUGGCCUCUACCUGUAAGCUAUCGCCUGAAGAGGGGUUUGCGUCUGAUUAGCUGGUUGGAGGCGUAACGGCCCACCAAGGCGACGAUCAGUAGCCGGUCUGAGAGGAUGAACGGCCACACUGGAACUGAGACACGGUCCAGACUCCUACGGGAGGCAGCAGUGGGGAAUCUUCCGCAAUGGGCGAAAGCCUGACGGAGCAACGCCGCGUGAGUGAUGACGGCCUUCGGGUUGUAAAACUCUGUGAUCCGGGACGAAAAGGCAGAGUGCGAAGAACAAACUGCAUUGACGGUACCGGAAAAGCAAGCCACGGCUAACUACGUG